rnacentral:rRNA from 1 species
AGAGCGAACGCUGGCGGCGUGCUUAACACAUGCAAGUCGAAUGCGCGCCUGUAGCAAUACAGGUGGCGCACGGCGCACGGGUGCGUAACACGUGGGUAAUCUGCCCUUCGAUGGGGAAUAACUCCGGGAAACCGAAGCUAAUUCCGCAUAACAUUCCUUGAACUUCGGUUUGGGGACUCAAAGCCGUAAGGCGUCGGAGGAGGAACCCGCGCACGAUUAGCUAGUUGGUAGGGUAACGGCCUACCAAGGCUUUGAUCGUUAGC